rnacentral:rRNA from 1 species
AGAGUUUGAUCCUGGCUCAGGACGAACGCUGGCGGCGUGCCUAAUACAUGCAAGUCGAGCGGACCGGAUUGGGGCUUGCCUUGAUUCGGUCAGCGGCGGACGGGUGAGUAACACGUGGGCAACCUGCCCGCAAGACCGGGAUAACUCCGGGAAACCGGAGCUAAUACCGGAUAACACCGAAGACCGCAUGGUCUUCGGUUGAAAGGCGGCCUUUGGGCUGUCACUUGCGGAUGGGCCCGCGGCGCAUUAGCUAGUUGGUGAGGUAACGGCUCACCAAGGCGACGAUGCGUAGCCGGCCUGAGAGGGUGACCGGCCACACUGGGACUGAGACACGGCCCAGACUCCUACGGGAGGCAGCAGUAGGGAAUUUUCCGCAAUGGGCGAAAGCCUGACGGAGCGACGCCGCGUGAGCGAAGAAGGCCUUCGGGUCGUAAAGCUCUGUUGUGAGGGACGAAGGAGCGCCGUUCGAAGAGGGCGGCGCGGUGACGGUACCUCACGAGAAAGCCCCGGCUAACUACGUGCCAGCAGCCGCGGU